UCCAGUCAGAAUCUCAUGGCAGUUAUGAGUAACAUGACAAAAUACUGAAAAAAACCCGUGGCGGCCAACGUGUUAAAGCAAUAAACUUUCUAUAAAAACCCCUACAUAAAUAAUGCAGAAUUUGGUUAACAACGCUUGUCAGAUAUUGACUGAAGUUUCUAGCAAACAGCAGUCUGUUCAGAAAAACUUUAAGAACCUUUGUAAUGGCAAAAGAGGUAACGCUGGGACAAGAAAAUAUUUUAAAGACAAGUGUGAAAUACAAUAACUACAAAACACGGGAAAAGUUGCAUACACCGGAUAUCAACCACUCGUAUCUCUUCAUUUAUAUUACCGUAAGACAAUUUAUACGAUAACCAGGCUAUUUGAUUAAUACAAAUAGACAUAAAAAAGAUUAACUUCGUAAUAAGAAAUGGUUGAAAGAAGGAUUUAAAUAAAUAGUUAACAAAAUAUUUCAUUGAAGAGAUCAUAUUUUAAUAGCUAACAAUUAGCAGAUUUAGAAGUAUGAACGGAACCGAUUUGCGGGUAAGAUGACAGAGAAUUUUAAAUAUUGUAAUAUAGAUUAAACUUAUCUGAUAUUUAUUUUUUUUUUCACCUUUUUUUGAAUAGAAACCAUAGUAGUAAUUAAUAUAGGUCUUGUAACUUUUUCUACAGUAGUCAUAUCUAUAAAUCUAUAAAUAUAAACAACUGUACAUAAUAUUAUUGUAUGUCAUCAAGUAAUUUUUUUAACUGCAGCUUUUUUUUUUUUUUUUACAUAUUUGACAUU